rnacentral:rRNA from 1 species
AUUGAACGCUGGCGGCAUGCCUUACACAUGCAAGUCGAACGGCAGCACGGGUGCUUGCACCUGGUGGCGAGUGGCGAACGGGUGAGUAAUACAUCGGAACACGUCCUGUAGUGGGGGAUAGCCCGGCGAAAGCCGGAUUAAUACCGCAUACGAUCUACGGAUGAAAGCGGGGGCCCUUCGGGCCUCGCGCUAUAGGGUUGGCCGAUGGCUGAUUAGCUAGUUGGUGGGGUAAAGGCCUACCAAGGCGACGAUCAGUAGCUGGUCUGAGAGGACGACCAGCCACACUGGGACUGAGACACGGCCCAGACUCCUACGGGAGGCAGCAGUGGGGAAUUUUGGACAAUGGGCGAAAGCCUGAUCCAGCAAUGCGGCGUGUGUGAAGAAGGCCUUCGGGUUGUAAAGCACUUUUGUCCGGAAAGAAAUCCUUGGCCCUAAUACGGUCGGGGGAUGACGGUACCGGAAGAAUAAGCACCGGCUAACUACGUG